rnacentral:rRNA from 1 species
UAACACGUAGGGGGCGAGCGUUGUUCGGAAUUACUGGGCGUAAAGGGCAUGUAGGCGGUUUGGUAAGCCUGACGUGAAAGGCUAUGGCUCAACCAUGGCACUGCGUUGGGAACUGCUGGACUUGAAUCAUGGAGAGGGAGCUGGAAUUCCAGGUGUAGGGGUGAAAUCUGUAGAUAUCUGGAAGAACACCAGUGGCGAAGGCGAGCUCCUGGCCAAUGAUUGACGCUGAGGUGCGAAAGUGUGGGGAUCAAACAGG